UUUUUUUCCUUCCCCCGAGUAUGUAGCAAUUAUUUAAAAGAAAAGAAAGAGGAAAAAAAAAAUCAGACGUCCUUUUGCUCGUUUUGAUGCUUGCGAACCGUAAUUUUUAGAAGCAAGAACUAGAAGGAAAAAAAAACCCCGAAGUUUUCUCCCCAAGGACCGAGACCAUUCCACAAACUGAAGUGCUGCCAGCAGCAUAUGCUUUUUGCAAGAAUAAUUGAAACCAUUAACUGGAGAGCACAGAAUUCUUUUGAAAGUCUGCCAGUUAUUUGCAAGUAACUUCGGCAGUGGCACAAAAUAUAACACUUAUAUUUUAACUUCUACAAUUGCACUUUUAGGAGCUGGCCUCUAAUUUGAUUUUCAGUUGUUCUGAUAAGAUUUCUAUUUUAUGAUUGGCUUUAUGUUUAAUUCUUGUUUAAACAAACACGAUUUGACUUAAAUGAAAACCUAAGUGCUGAUGAAUAGGAGUUCUACCAAAGCAACAAGUUAGUUAUUUCUUCACGUUUAACUUGAAUUCACUUUUUUACCCUUUUUUUAAAAAAAAAGAAGAAAAAAAAAGAUCAGCAGUAAAUAUUGCCCUGAAGAAGGGUGCGAUUGCUUGCAUUUUAAUUUUUGUUUUUUUUAAUAUGGCUGGGGAAGUUUCCCUUGUUCGUGAUACAAAAUGGCUGACGUUAGAAGUGUGUCGAGAGUUUCAGAGAGGUACUUGUUCUCGGUCUGAUGCAGAGUGCAAGUUCGCCCAUCCGUCACGGAGUUGCCAUGUGGAAAAUGGUCGAGUUAUUGCCUGCUUUGACUCCCUAAAGGGCCGGUGUACCCGGGAGAACUGCAAAUAUCUCCACCCUCCCCCGCACUUAAAAACACAACUUGAAAUAAAUGGACGCAACAACCUGAUCCAGCAGAAGACAGCCGCAGCCAUGUUUGCUCAGCAAAUGCAGUUCAUGCUACCAGGCGCGCAGCUACAGCCAAUUACAACGUUUCCUGUGACUCCAUCGCUUGCAACAAGCCCCACGAUGGCUUUUAGUCCCUACCUGAGUCAUGUUUCUCCUGGGAUGGGCUUGGUUCCUGCAGAGCUUUUACCAAAUACUCCUGUCCUGGUUUCUGGAAAUCCUACUGUUACAGUACCAGGAGGCUCUGCUGGGCAGAAACUGAUGCGUACGGAUAAACUGGAGGUUUGUCGAGAGUUUCAGCGAGGAAAUUGCACACGUGGUGAGAAUGAUUGCCGCUAUGCUCACCCUAUAGAUAUUGCAAUGAUAGACACAAAUGAAAAUACUGUUACAGUUUGCAUGGAUUACAUCAAAGGUCGAUGCUCUAGGGAGAAAUGCAAGUACUUUCAUCCCCCUGCACACCUGCAAGCCAAAAUCAAGGCAGCUCAACACCAGGUGAACCAGACAGCUGCAGCUGCAAUGGCCCUGCCGCCUGGUGCACUUCAACCUUUACCAAAGAGGCCAGCACUUGAAAAAAACAAUGGUGCCACCACAGUCUUUAACCCAAGCGUUUUCCACUACCAACAGGCUCUAGCCAACAUGCAGUUGCAACAGCCUACAUUCAUCCCUACAGAUAUCCCAGUUAUCAGUAGAUGAACUGAGUAGCAGCAUGUUUGUUUCACAGAUGUAGAAGUUCUCGAUAGAACACAGACCAUGUUGAAAUUCUGAACAGUAAAAUUAUGGAGCACCAGGACUUCUUGGUGGGAAGCUGCGCAUGGCCUUUCUGUAUAUAUCCCCUCUUCCCUCUAUCGUUCUCUACCACCUCUACAGUAAGCCUGUUGCAGCCUACAUGUUAACCAAAAACUGAUCAAUGGGAAUGUCAAAAAAAAAAAAAAAAAGCACUAUAGAAACAAUUAACAAACAGCGCUCUGUUAUAUGAGAUAUACAAGUAGAAAAUUAUAAUAGACUUUUAUAACACAUUACUUUAACACACUUAAUCAUUUUAUGACUACCAUCCUGAUAAGUGCAUCUGCACAGCGGACUGUUGGUUUACUGUAUACUAUCGAUGGAUAAAUGUUUGUCUCGUUUUUAAAGUGUUAUCUUACUGUUUUGUUUACAUCUUAGUCUAUUGAUUUGUUUUAAAGUGUACAUCAUUAUCAACUAUACUCAAUACCAUUUUUUCAUUAUUGUUAUGUCUUAAGUUUUCAUAUACUGUAGGUUUUAUGGGUUUUUGUUCGUUUUUUACUAAAAAUGUUAUUGUGGGAAACAGGAAUUAUGUGCUUGAAAAACACGACACAGGAAUGUUCUGCCCUUUGCUGGAUUUUGCUGUUAAUGUCAGCUAAAAUUGCUUGUGUUAAAUGCUCCUUUUAUCUUUUAAAAUUUGCCUUCAGAUAGAGUCUCCAAAUUCUUAGUACAAGUGAUAUGAAAGGACAGCUGUCAUUUUAGUCCAGUUCAGGGUAUUUCUUUCAAUACAAUGAGCUGAUUCUGGAAACUUUUGGGAAAAAACCCACAAAAGCCCAGGCUCAGUAGGGGGACAGGAACGAUUUGCUCAGACGAUGGUAAGCAUCAAGGGAUUUCUGCAGUUCUGUUGUCCAUUGAAGUGCAUUCUCAGCUGCAAACGGCGCACAAUCUCUCUUGCUGUUCUCAUGGUGCAGUCAAAACAAAAAAAAAAAAGGUGGUGAAGUGAGACAGCUUCAGUUGGGCAAAGACUCACUGCGUUGGAGAGGAGUAAAUGCCAACCGUUAGCUGGAGUGGGCCCAUAGCCAUGACUUAGCCCAAGCUGGGUAAUACUGUGCCCGGGGGCUUGUCUCCACUAAGCACGCUGAAACAUUUCGGCCUGAAAUCUUACGUGGCUCUUCUUGAAAUUUUGUCAGCACGCACCAAUUAUUUAAUCACCAUUUUCCAUAAGUGGAUUAUUUUUUUCCCCAUCAUCUCUGGCCCUUUAAAGCAAACACAGCAGUAACAAAGCAGGAAAAAGCUCAGCAUAAGCUUUCUACCGUAGAUAAACAUUCAUCUUAAUGGAGCUCCUGUAGGUCAGUGGAUUUAUUUUGGCACCUUCUACUUGAUCAAGAGCAAUGUUUGCCGCACAACAAGGGCUAGUUCUCAAUACCUCCUUUUCAUACGCAUGAAUAAAAUGAUUUCCAGCCCGUGCACCCUGGACAGCCCAGCCUGUCGUUACACUGCGUUAAUGAACAAUCUGGCUGCAGAAUGCAUUUUGGUUGAGGAUACAGCCAAAUUCAUCCCUGUCAUAGCUCUACAGUAUCAUUGGCAUUAUGGAAGAGAUGGAUUUGCUGCUGUAAAUCCACGAACUCCAUACAAGGAGAAAGAGAAUCGUUACUGAAACGAAGCAAGAGGCCAGCUCCCAGUGUCUGGAGCACUGGCCACCCCGAGCUCACAGUGGUCCUGUAGGGUGCCAAAUUCUGACAACCAUGUUUUGUUUUCUUUUCCAAGUACCUUGGCCUUGGUAAGAGACUUUCCUUGCCCCCUCUCCUCCAGUGUGAGCACAGAUAGUUUGCUAGAUGUGUAUCUCUACGGACCAGAAGUGAUGGAGGGGCAUCUAGGGCACAGCCGGUACGUCCCAGAGCAGGCUCUGACCAUCUGCCCGUGGAGAAUCAUUCAUAGCAAGAACCUUUGAAGGGCCCAGCUCAAAAAGGCCUUGAGCCAGAAGGAAUCUCUCCAUUCAUUUCAGCAGGCUUUGAACCAAACCCUGAGAAAGGGAAGAAAACAUCCCCCCUCCCCUCCCUUCCUUUAUGAACCCCGUGUUUUGACAGUCGCUUGUGUCCAUAGAUGUUCCCCAGCCAUCAGUGUUCACAAGCAGCAGCAUUGCCUGAAAUCAGCGACUCAUUUAUAUUGGCGACCGCAUACCUGUUCUUUUCACCACUGAGUUUCUGUUUCCCAAAACCAUAACAUUGUUAGUGGAAAAAGUGGAUUUGAGUACUUCCUGUUUGAAAUUAUUUGUGUAUCAAAAAUGGGUUUUGCACAACCUGUGCCAGUGCCUCAACAAAGAACAGAGCUGAUCUUCUUAAGCCAGAAAGGAUGCAUUCAAGCUUGUAUGGCUUUAUGAGUUCAAGGAGGUUGGAAUUUUUUCAGUGCUAAAUGGAUUUUUGUAUAUCUUGACACUUUGAUGUAACCUCCUAUUUUAUUUAUCGACUUAAACAUCUGGCAUAGAUGUGCAUAGAAUGUAAACCUAGAAUACAGCUGUUUUCAUGUCACAUUUAAAGCACUGAAAAAAAAAAGUUUAAGGAUUAUUUUUUAUUAAAGAGGUCCAAUGAGGGAUGUUCAGGGUAGUUAUAUUAGGUGCCACAACAGUUUUUAUAUUGCUGGCAAAUUUAGAGUUAAUUUGUAAAUGAGUUUAAGGAAAGAAAAGCUUGAAGCACUAAACUUCACCAAAUUCAAAACAAUCUCGGCAAAAAUGCCAUUUUGAGGUAGCACUAUUUAAACUAGUUGUGCAAUGACUUGCUCUAAUUUUCUUUGUUCAAGAAAGAAAAGAAAAAAAAAACAGUCGCCAGACUAUAAAUUUCCUAAAUAGACUAUUACAAAGUCACCGAGCUAGUUAGUGACUCUAAACAAAUGUCAUAAAAGCAUGAAUAUCAUCCUUUAUUUGACAAGAGAUGUAUGUAAGUUUGUUUAAAUCGAUAUAAUUUUAGUGACAUUUUUAUAAGCUUCCCACUUUCCAUGAACCUAUAUUUUUUAUUUAUCCAAAGUUAUUUCUCUUUGUCCAUUUCUCUCAGCCUUAUGCAAACAAUAUGCAAGAAAUGCUGAAACUUGGAUAAAACGGGUCAUGCAGAGGGAAAAUGAAAGCUGAGAUUGAUCAUUUUCACGAAAAAAGGUUGUUAGUAGUUUCAAUAAAAAGUACUACUACUAAACUGUAACAUAAGCAGACAAUAAAAGAGGGAUUUAAAAUAAAAUGGAUUCAUAAAACUAU